rnacentral:rRNA from 1 species
AACGAACGCUGGCGGCAUGCCUAACACAUGCCAGUCGAACGAGACCUUCGGGUCUAGUGGCGCACGGGUGCGUAACGCGUGGGAACCUGCCCUUAGGUUCGGAAUACCUCCCCGAAAGGGGUGCUAAUACCGGAUAAUCUCUUCGCACCAAAGAUUUAUCGCCUUUGGAUGGGCCCGCGUUGGAUUAGCUAGUUGGUAGGGUAAAAGCCUACCAAGGCGACGAUCCAUAGCUGGUCUGAGAGGAUGAUCAGCCACACUGGGACUGAGACACGGCCCAGACUCCUACGGGAGGCAGCAGUGGGGAAUAUUGGACAAGGGGCGAAAGCCUGAUACAGCAAUGCCGGGUGAGUGAUGAAGGCCGUAGGGUUGUAAAGCUCUUUUACCCGGGAUGAGAAUGACAGUACCGGGAGAAUAAGCGCCGGCUAACUCCGUG